UGAAGAUGAGGAUGUCGCUGCAAGCUCCUUCUCUAGCCCCAUGUCUGCCUGCCAGCUGCCUGCCUGCUCCCACCACGAUGAUGAUGGACUGAACCCCUGAAACUGAAGAAGGGGCUGGUGAGAUGGCUCAGUGGUUAAGAUUGCUCUUCCCGAGGUCAUGAGUUCAAAUCCCAGCAACCACAUGGUGGCUCACAACCAUCCAUAAGGAGAAACAAAUAAUAUAGAAACUAUGGGCCAGAGCAAGAGGGAGAAAGGGAAGGGGAGAUAAGAAAAAAAAGAAAGGAAGGAAGGAAGAUAGAAAGGAAAAAGAAAACCUAGAAGAAGAGGGAAGCUCCUCCCCAUCCUCCAGGCUUCUCCCCGUCCUCCAGGCUUCUCCCCGUCCUCCAGGCUUCUCCCCGUCCUCCAGGCUUCUCCCCGUCCUCCAGGCUUCUCCCCGUCCUCCAGGCGAGCCUUGAGAGAAUUCUCAGACCUUCCCCUGAAGCAGGUCAUGAAAUCCAGACUGUGAGAGGUGCUCACCCUGUAAUUAGAGAAGAGGAACGUUCUUGUUACCAAAAGCUGAGGACAGAGAGAAGGAGCCAGACUAGCCGAACUCUCCGAAGGUUAUCAUGGGCUCAUGACAAACCUGUUUGUCUAAUCAUCUCUGUCCCCAACACCACUCACUUCCUCCGACUUGGACGUUCACAAGUGGCCUCACCUCUUUAGAUCUAGGAAACCGAAACACAGCUUGCGUGGUUUUCUUCGGUGAAUCUGAAUCUGACUUUUGUUGUAGAUUCUUCAGCCAGGAAAAAAUAGCAGCGAAGGAGAGAGAGAGAAAUCCUUCCCUGGUGAGCUGGAUUCCUUGAAGUUGCAGACUAUGAAAAGCGGGAUGCAGUUGCAAUGCCAGGGUUAGGGCAAACACCAGGUAGGAACAGAAGUUCCAGACUUACUGGUUUCUCUUUAACUACAGGUUCCUGCGCUGCCAUCAGGAGAAUAAUUACAGUAUGCAAACACUAACGUGUUUUGCUGCUGUGUUAUAUAAUUAACCAUUAGCUGCCCCACUCUUGGGUUUCAAACCUCGUCGAUGUAUUUCUUCUUCAUAUACAGUCAGCAGGGAUGCUCAUCUGCUCUGAGACCCCAGACUCUUCUGUCUGUAACAGCUCCACACUAAUGCGUGACUUCCAGGGUCUCAGUGGGAGGCAUUGGAGACUAGCCAGAAGCCCUUUUCAAUGACCUUGACUUUCACGUGACCUUUCGCUCACCCUUGCUUGACAGAAUAGACAACUGGCUGGCUUCACUGUGUCAAUUACUGGGAGUCCGCAGUCUGCUGGAGACCUUGGCGGUUGACUCACAGCCUGGUUCAGCCUCUGCGCCUCACUCUCUCUCCCCUUCAUCCACUUCUAGUUCAGAUGUCUAAGAGGGCUGGGUGGUUUCGAUGAGAAACCUCUCAGGAUAUGUUUUGUAAAACAUGGUAUUGUGCUGUCGGGGUGAGGAGAGGGGCUUAGCAGGCCCAUUCUGAGGCAUCCCUAUCACCCUGAGGUACCAGCAGUACGAUGGGUCUCGUAUAAAAUGAAGUUUAUUUGGGGCAUGGGAGGGGGGUGUUGAGAAGGGAAUAAAGGCAGAGAAAGAGAGGGACAGAAAGAGAGGGAGGAAGGAGGGACGGAAAAAGGGAGGGGAAGAGAGACAGAGAGAGAGAGACAGAGAGAGACAGAGAGAGACAGGGAGAGACAGGGAGAGACU
rnacentral:lncRNA from 1 species